UGUAAGUCUGCCUCUAAGAGAAGAUAGACAGUUUCAAAUUCAAAUGACUAUCUAAUCUGCCAUUUUGUUACUUGGUUAGCUUUGGAAACUAAUGUUAGCAUAGCUCAAAAGGCAUCGAAAAGAGCAAAUGGACAAAAAGGAGUACAAGGAAUACCAGAGCAGUUGUCGACUAGUGUUAAGUGAUUCUUUAACCCAGUGUUGUCUUUGUCUGCAAUGUCUGUUAUUUACAGUAUAGUAUUUGUUUAAAGAACUCACUGAAACGUUAGCUGUCAAGAGACAUUAACUGCUAGUGGCUAGUUACGUUAGCUUACAUUAAUGCUAACUGUUUCUUCCAAACUGAAAAGUUUAUCAGUUAGUUUUUCUUUAAUAAUACUAUGCUUUAUGAAUAUUUUCAAACAGAAUAAUGCAUGUACAGAGAUAUGUUAUAUCCGGCUACCAUCUUUGUCUGGAUUAUAAUUCCUAAAUCUAAAUACAUUUUUGAAAAGGGUUCAAAUAUUUUUUAUCCAGAUGGUUGGAGGAGUUUGAGUAUUCCUAAAUGUAAGCGGUAGCUGUUGUCUGUAAGAAUCUUCUUGGUAUUUCAAUGCUAUUUUCAAUGAUUUAUUGAGAAGAAAAGUAUCAAUGCUUGGUCAGAUAGUUAAAUUCAUUCUCUGGCUAGCUGCUAGCAACUGUUGAUUUCGGUCAUCUGCAUCCCAGUAUGCAAAGCACACCUGGAUAUGGGAGCCAUUUAGCUCAAACUUGUAGAGUACGCCUAGUAGUUAGUUAGUAGUUGUUCUCGCCACAAAUUAACCACUCCAGAGUUAGUUUCAGACCAGGCUGAGACCACAUUUCCCAAAGAUGGUUUUUGUCAUUUUAGGUUGUUCAAGUGCUCAUUUUUCUGACACGUUUGUUUUUAAUUAGUUAUGUGAUGAUAUUAAAAAUGGGGUGCGACAUCAUGAUUGACAGCUGUGAUUGACAGCCUCCCUCAAACCUGAGUGACUGCAGCAACUUCUGAUGCAAAAUGCAAAUGUUUGUUUUCAUCUGUAAUUCACAACUAGCUGUAGCUGCUAGUUACCGGCUGGUUUAACGUCACACAAGCAAGCAAGAUGGCAGCUCCCAGAGAUGAGAUAUUUUCACUUUACUUUUGUAUAGCGGUCAGAAGCGGAGACGGGUCAUCCAUCUUUAUAUAAAAUAUAUGGUUCAGACCUGCCCAAACAAAUCGCACCAAGUGGGAAAACAAACUACCGUCCAAUUCAACCAGACUAAAAAGUGCAGGUCUGAAAACGCCCUAAAACUUAAGUAGACUGCCAACCUUCUUUUGGGAGAAAAAAAGUGGCACAACACUAAUGAACAAUACAAAAUUAUACAACAUUACCUUCAUUUAGCAGACGCUUUUGUCCAAAGCGACCUCCAUUCAAACUAAUUAGAAGUAGCAGAUGUCAUAUUAAAGAAAUGUGCUCUCUUUUCAGCAUUAACCUGCAGGACCUCCAUCAUUUUCUCCACCCUGCGGCCGCCCUGACUCAUCUCCAUUGUAUCUCCCUGUGGCAUCCAAGGAUCGGUCUUUAAUAUUGCAGGGAGUAAUGCAGUAAGAAGGAGCAGCCACUGCGAACUGUGAGAUGAAGAGCUGCAGAUGACACACUUCCACCUCCUCAGCGAGCAGUGCUCUAGUGGCUGGCAGGCAGUGACACACAUUCCAGCAGUGACAGUGAACAGGGCUGGAGCCACUCUCACAGAUGGACCUUGAACUUUUUAAAGGGACAUCUGGCCUCGCAGUAAUGCCCCACCGGCGGCCCUCACUGCCCAGCUACAAACUGUAACUCUAUAGCCUCAUUGUCACGCUCCAUAUCCUCCCGCUGACCCCAAGCCCAAUUAUACAGCUGACCCAGGCUUGAUGAUAUAACCUUGGGCGUCUUUUGGGGGCUGCUGGGGCUCAGGGGUGCACCUCUUGUCUAUCAUGACAUGUCAGCUCUGCGCGUUAACCAGACACUUCCCUGAGUGGUCCCAGUGGGGGUUUAGGAGGAAGAGUGGCUGCCAUGCAAGGUCCAGUAUAUUUCAACACAUUGCCUCAGUUAGGUUUGCUUAUACAUCAACAAUAUAAUGAUAAGAAAAUAGUGAGUGAAGGUGUCAAAUGUGUCAUUUCUAGUACAACUUUUUAAAAAAUCUUCCCAGUGUUUCCAUAAAUAUUGAGUACGUACAUCAUAAGCAGAGGAAUCUACCGAUAUUUAAUCAAAAAGCAAAGGGUUAUAGAUUUUUUGACAGGUUUAAUCCAGCAGUAGUGUUCCCAAAAAAUUUGAAAUACAGUAUAAAUGUUGGGACACAGUGUGUUUACCUCUACUGAAAUCUUUUCUGAAUGUCAAGCAGCACUAAAUGAGGCUCUAUUGUAUGUAGAAACGACAUGUAUGCUCGCUGAAUCUUUUAGACAUAUCUAUAGUCUCCAUGCAUGCUCAGCAGCUGCCAUGCAUUAAUGUGCAGCUUGCUUAGUAUGCACUAUAAGCUCUGGAAAGGCUCCCUGUCACUGGUGAUGUGUUCCUUAAUGGAUGAGGAGUUGAUUUACAUUUCCAAAGGUAUGUGCAUAGGCUACAGCAGCGCAUGAAUAUCUGCUGGAAAUGGCAGUAAACAUGGCUGUUUUUGUUUUUUGUAGAAUUUCAGGGCAGCUUCGACUACACAAAUGUAGAAUACACAAACAAGGGGUUG